AAAAAUAAAGGACAGAGAGAGAGUAGAAAGCGGGGGAGCUUUAUGGUCAUGGAUUGUGCUGAUGUACCAGCAGCUGUAUCUGUACCCUGUGCCGGGGCUUGGCUCACUGAAAGAUCCCCUGAGAAUGGACAAAAGGGUGUGCGUAGGGCCUAUGCUCUGAAUAUUUGAAAA